UACGAGUGCCCCGAGCGUUAUCCGGAAUCAUUGGGCGUAAAGGGUGUGUAGGUGGUCGCGUUAGUCAAUCGUCAAAGCCCGGGGCUCAACCUCGGAUCCGCGAUUGAAACGGCACGACUAGAGGAUGGCAGGGAUGUAUGGAACUCAUGGAGUAGGGGUGAAAUCCGUUGAUAUCAUGGGGAACACCGAAAGCGAAGGCAGUACAUUGGGCCACUCCUGACACUGAAACACGAAAGCGUGGGUAGCGAAUGGG
rnacentral:rRNA from 1 species